rnacentral:rRNA from 1 species
UGAAUUAUUCACCCUUGUCUUUUGCGUACUUCUUGUUUCCUUGGUGGGUUCGCCCACCACUAGGACAAACAUAAACCUUUUGUAAUUGCAAUCAGCGUCAGUAACAAAUUAAUAAUUACAACUUUCAACAACGGAUCUCUUGGUUCUGGCAUCGAUGAAGAACGCAGCGAAAUGCGAUAAGUAGUGUGAAUUGCAGAAUUCAGUGAAUCAUCGAAUCUUUGAACGCACAUUGCGCCCUUUGGUAUUCCAAAGGGCAUGCCUGUUCGAGCGUCAUUUGUACCCUCAAGCUUUGCUUGGUGUUGGGCGUCUUGUCUCUAGCUUUGCUGGAGACUCGCCUUAAAGUAAUUGGCAGCCGGCCUACUGGUUUCGGAGCGCAGCACAAGUCGCACUCUCUAUCAGCAAAGGUCUAGCAUCCAUUAAGCCUUUUUUCAACUUUUGACCUCGGAUCAGGUAGGGAUACCCGCUGAACUUAAGCAUAU